CGUGUAGGCGGCCAGGCAAGUCGAGUGUGAAAUCCCAGGGCUCAACCCUGGAACUGCACCCGAAACUGCCUAGCUAGAGUCCCGGAGAGGGUGGCGGAAUUUCCGGUGUAGAGGUGAAAUUCGUAGAUAUCGGAAGGAACACCAGUGGCGAAGGCGGCCACCUGGACGGUGACUGACGCUGAGACGCGAAAGCGUGGGGAGCAAACA
rnacentral:rRNA from 1 species